AAAUAGUGUGGACCUGAAGUCUACUAUGGUUAGUCUAUUACGUACGCUUUACAGACUAGGUUUACUGUAAGGAAAAUUACUGAGGAUGGACCUGCGUUUUCAGUCAUAUGCUUGUUGGUUGCUCCCCCUGCUCGGCCUAGUCCUCUCCCCGUUUCCAUCGGUCCACUCGGCUGACCUCACCAUGGCCGACGCCGCCCACCAGGAGUUCGCCCGCCGGCUGGCCCUCUUCUCCAUCAACGUGUACGGCAAGCUGGCGGCGCAUAAGGCCGGCGAGAACAUCGUCUUCUCGCCCUUUUCCAUCCAGACCUGUGCGGCGAUGGCCAGGCUGGGCGCAGAGAAGGAGACGGCCACACAGCUGGACCAGGGACUGGGUCUGGUCUCCAGUGAACCGGAGCAAAUUGCACAGAGUUUCCACCAGGUGCUGGCCGCCUACCAGGACAGCCAGAUCCUGCGCAUCGCCAACAAGAUUUUCGUGAUGGAGGGCUACCAGCUGCGCCAGGAGUUCGACCAGUUAUUAUCCAAGCAGUUUCUCUCGGCAGCUCAGAACGUGGACUUUGCCAAAAAUGUCCAAGCUGCGGCCACCAUCAACAAUUGGGUGGAGCAGCGCACGAACCACCUGAUCAAGGACCUUGUGUCGGCUGAUGUACUGGACUCCAAUUCGCGACUGGUCCUUGUGAACGCCAUUCACUUCAAGGGCACCUGGCGGCACCAGUUCUCCAAGCACUUAACCCGCCCCGAAACCUUUCACCUGGAUGGCGAGCGAACCGUCCAGGUUCCGAUGAUGAGUUUAAAGGAGCGGUUACGCUUUGCCGAUCUGCCGGCGCUGGAUGCCAAAGCCCUGGAACUGCCCUACAAGGACUCAGACCUCUCUAUGCUGAUCGUUCUGCCCAACACCAAGACGGGUCUGCCCGCACUGGAGGAGAAGCUGCGCCUCACGACCCUCUCGCAGAUCACGCAGGCGUUGCACGAAACGAAGGUGGUGCUCAAAUUGCCCAGGUUCAAGGCAGAGUUCCAAGUGGAGUUGUCUGAGGUUUUCCAGCAGCUUGGCAUGUCAAGGAUGUUCAGCGACCAGGCUGAAUUUGGAAAAAUGCUACAAAGUCCGGAGCCAUUGAAAGUGUCAGCCAUCAUACACAAGGCCUUCAUAGAAGUAAACGAGGAGGGAACGGAGGCUGCGGCCGCCACGGGCAUGGUGGUGCGUAGGAAGCGCGCCAUUGUCUCACUUGAGGAACCAAUUGAGUUCUUAGCCGACCAUCCUUUCACCUAUGCCGUUGUGCAUCAGGAGGAACUGCCAUUGUUUUGGGGCUCAGUUGUGCGGCUAGAGGAAAAUAUCUCCGCCUCCAGCGAGCAUGAUGAGCUGUGAUGGUACCUGAUUCUUUGGCAAAACAAUAAACGCAGCUAUUUAUUUACAAUGUCCUAAGUUUUGUCACGCAUUUACCUGAAGAUUUAGGAUAAUCCGUAAUCAAUCAAAACAAAAAAAUCCAUUGACCGGAUUCCGGGUGAUGCCCGUGGCUGGCUUCAGUCGCAAGCACUUCAUUGCCAACCAUCCUUUUGCAUUCUACGUGAAGUCCCAUUUGGAUCUGCCGAUAUUCACUGGGCGUCACUUGGGUUAAGCAAUAUGAAGUUUUCUAUGAAAAAAAUUAAAGUUCAAUAAAUUAAAAUAAACGACA